CCAAUAGCGUAUAUUAAAGUUGUUGCAGUUAAAAAGCUCGUAGUUGAACUUCGGGGUUCACCCAUUGGUCAGGCUUAGUUGUCUGCACUGGUGAGAUGAGUCUCUACCUUCUGAGGAACUUUCAUGCCAUUUAUUUGGUGUGAUGGGAAAUCAGGACUGUUACUUUGAAAAAAUUAGAGUGUUUAAAGCAGGCUAACGUCUGAAUACAUUAGCAUGGAAUAAUGAAAUAGGACGGACUGAUUCUAUUUCGUUGGUUUCUAGGAUCACCGUAAUGAUUAAUAGGGAUAGUUGGGGGCAUUAGUAUUCAAUUGUCAGAGGUGAAAUUCUUGGAUUUAUUGAAGACUAACUACUGCGAAAGCAUUUGCCAAGGAUGUUUUCAUUAAUCAAGAACGAAAGUUAGGGGAUCGAAGACGAUCAGAUACCGUCGUAGUCUUAACCAUAAACUAUGCCGACUAGGGAUCGGGCGAAGUUAAUUUUAUAAUGACGCGUCCGGCACCUUACG
rnacentral:rRNA from 1 species